rnacentral:lncRNA from 1 species
AGGAAGCGAGAUGCGACGUCCAGGUCUUCCUUGUUCAGCACCAGAUUGUCCACGAACAUCCAGAAGAAGGGCCUGGGGCUGCCUGGCUUGGGCCGUGCGUGACCCCUCCUCCCCCAGGCAGGCCUAGAGUGGGGAAGAGACAGACAGGCAAGCCCGAGGGAGGAGCUGACGCAGAGCGCGUGCCGCGGCACAAAUACCGCCUUUUAGAGGAAGCUCCAGAGGACACGUGAGCUGCAGUGAUGUGGGCACGCUGGGGGCUGCAUGGGGUCAGCGGGAGGCUUGGGG